rnacentral:rRNA from 1 species
GGUUUGUUAAGCGAGAUGUGAAAGCCCCGGGCUCAACCUGGGAACUGCAUUUCGAACUGGCAAACUAGAGUGUGAUAGAGGGUGGUAGAAUUUCAGGUGUACGGUGAAAUGCGUAAGAUCUGAAGGAAUACCGAUGGCGAAGGCAGCCACCUGGGUCAACACUGACGCUCAUGUACGAAAGCGUGGGGAGCAAACGGGAUUAGAUACCCCGGUAGUCCACGCCGUAAACGAUGUCUACUAGAAGCUCGGAACCUCGGUUCUGUUUUUCAAAGCUAACGCAUUAAGUAGACCGCCUGGGGAGUACGGCCGCAAGGUUAAAACUCAAAUGAAUUGACGGGGGCCCGCACAAGCGGUGGAGCAUGUGGUUUAAUUCGAUGCAACGCGAAGAACCUUACCUACACUUGACAUACAGAGAACUU